CACUAAUUAGGCGCCCCACCCCGAAGCCCGGGCUGCGAGGCGGAGUCAGGGCCCCCUCAGCUCCACCCCGGAGCUUGGCAUGAUUUGCCAUUUUACUGCUCCUCUGGAACCUGUGCUUCCUCCCGAGCGCAGGAGGUUCCCCUGCCGCAGCUGCCGGCCCCAGGACCUGGAUGGAGAUCGCCCGAGGAGAAUCCGUUCUCCUGGUCACACUACAGAGGCCUAGGGGGACGAGACCUGCGGGGCCUGUCCGGACCCGAGGCGGCGCUCGGAAUGGUCUCCCGUGGAGCAGAAACGCCGUUUCCUGGCAUAGGCAGCCAAUCAGGAUGCAGUCGUCUCUAAAGGUCAGGGUGACACACAUUUCCCAAGAUCAUUCACGGACUUCGCCCUUCGAUGCCUUGUUGUCAUGACAAAACCUGGCUGCCAGCACUUAAUGUGAUUUCCCCCCAUCUCUGGCAACUGAGAGAAUAAAAAACUGAACAUAAAAUUUAA